UUCAGGAGAGGAGAACCAGAAGUAAACAAGAAGCUGAAACCUCCUAUGAGUGGGCACCAUGUGUGGACUGACUGGGGGAGAACCAGAUACCAACCCAUUCCAGUGCGUGAGCAGGGAGGCAAGAGCCAAAGUUUGCUUCCCCCCAUAAGCAACCAGAUGAUCUGGAGAAACACCGGCUGUGAUGAUAGCUAAUGAGGUAUGCGCAGCUACUUUGAAGAUGGCAAGAGGCAUUAUGAGUAAGAAGCAGGCAAUUCAAGAAGCAAACAAACAAGAAACAACUAAAGCAAAAUGAUCACCAAAACAACUAAAAACAAUGAUGAUACAAGAUUUCAAAACAAGUUGAUAGAAAUUUAACAGUGGUGGUUAUACUGCAUAUUUUUAUCAUCAAAUAAUUGCUGUGGCUACUGACUUAACACAUCAAGUAACUGCCUGAGCUGGAAAAGUAACUUUCAUUUGGAUACAUUUCUUUCACUCUUUAUAAAUCCCUGUGAGGUGGUCAAUAGACUGAUUAUCAGUUUGAAUGUCAAUGCCAAGCUGAGUUGAGUAAGCUUGAAUCUGGUCAUGGAAGACCCACUUCAGGGAAAAUUUUUGUCAGAAUGAUAUAAAAACAAAAAUGGGAGAGAAAGUUUUCAGCCGAUGUUUCCUGGAGGAGCUUAGUUGUGACUCCUUUACUCCCAAAGUAUUUUGUGUUUGUCUUCGAAAGAGCAUUGGGUGUUUUCUUUCUUCACGGGAACUUCAGUUCUCAUCUUCAUCUUGGAGGCCCUGUCUCAGCUUCCAGUUUAGAUCCCUCAGCAUCCUGACAUGUGUCCCUCAACCUUUUAUUCCAGACACUGAGGGAGAAAGUCUCAAAUUUUGGGACUCAGUUCUCUUCCUUCUCGGAUCUCAGCAGUUUCUGCCCUUGGCUGGUCACAUCCAGCACUUCUUGCCUUCUCUUUGAUGUAUUAAUAAAGCACUUUCACAACUUCCUAACCUGA